GACUCGGUGGCGGAUGGUCCGCAUCCGCUCGACUUCACUGAGGAUGGGAUGUAAAUGCUGCGGAAGACGCCCGUUCGAUUCGGGCCCGGGUCA